GGACCUGAGCUCUAGGACCAUGCCUCAGGACUACCUGGCCUGAUGACUCCUUGCUGGCCCCAGUCCACCUGGGCGUGCUGCUGCGCCAGUUUCAACUGUUCUGCCUGCGGCUAUGGAACCCUGACCUGUUCACCGGACGUGCUACCUGUCCCAGACCUGCUGUUUUCAACUCUCUAGAGACAGCAGGAGCGGUAGAGAUAGUCUGAAUGAUAGGCUAUGAAAAGCCAACUGACAUUUACUCCUGAGGUGCUGACCUGUUGCACCCUCGACAACCACUGUGAUUAUUAUUAUUUGACCCUGCUGGUCAUCUACGAACAUUUGAACAUCUUGGCUAUGUUCUGUUAUAAUCUCCACCCGGCACAGCCAGAAGAGGACUGGCCACCCCUCAUAGCCUGGUUCCUCUCUAGGUUUCUUCCUAGGUUCUGGCCUUUCUAGGGAGUUUUUCCUAGCCACCGUGCUUCUACACCUGCAUUGCUUGCUGUUUGCGGUUUUAGGCUGGGUUUCUGUACAGCACUUUGAGAUAUCAGCUGAUGUAAGAAGGGCUUUAUAAAUACAUUUGAUUUUAUUUGAUUUAGGGAUGUAGUCAGAGACCUGGCAGUGUAGGGUCAGGACAACAACCUCUCCCUCCAUGUGAGCAAGACAAAAGAGCUGAUCGUGGACUACAGGAAAAGGAGGGGCAAGCACGAUUCACAUCGAUGAGGCUGUAGUGGAGCGGGUCGAGAGCUUCAAGUUCCUUGCUGUCCACAUCAGUAACAAACCAUCAUGGUCCAAACACAACAAGACAGUCGUGAAGAGGGUACCUAGUGGUUAGAGUGUUGGGCCUGUAACCGAAAGUUUGCUAGAUCGAAUCCCCUAGCUUACAAGUUGUGACAGAAUUACCCACCAAACCAGGACCAAGCAGCAGAGGAACGAGGAGGAAGGAUGGACGUGGGCAGAGCUAAGGAGGAGCGUUUCCAGGGCGAUGGAGUUUAGUAAACUCGAGAGGCAGCCCCAAUAAUUUUUUUUGGGGGGGGCACAAAGGCUAUUUGGCGG
rnacentral:lncRNA from 1 species